AUUGAACGCUGGCGGCAGGCCUAACACAUGCAAGUCGAGCGAGCGGCGGACGGGUGAGUAAUGCCUGGGAAUUGCCCAGUCGAGGGGGAUCACAGUUGGAAACGUCUGCUAAUACCGCAUACGAUUGGAUCGCCCAGGUGGGUUUAGAUAGUUGGUGAGGUAAUGGCUCACCAAGGCGACGAUCCCUAGCUGGUCUGAGAGGAUGAUCAGCAACACUGGAACUGGGACACGGUCCGGACUCCGACGGAGGGAAGCAGUGGGAAAUAUUGCACAAUGGGGGAAACCCUGAUGCAGCCAUGCCGCGUGUGUGAAGAAGGCCUUCGGGUUGUAAAGCACUUUCAGCGAGGAGGCGUUACUCGCAGAAGAAGCACCGGCUAACUCCGUGCCAGCCGCCGCGGUAAUUC
rnacentral:rRNA from 1 species